UCUGCCCCUAGAGACCCUGAAGGUGUGGCUGCGGUGUCACAUGUCUAUCUAUCAGGAGGCAGCAGAGAGGAGAGAGGCAAUACCUAUGUUCAGUGUUCUGACCUAUGUACAGCUGAAUGAUUAGUAGCCUGACAUU
rnacentral:snoRNA from 1 species